AGUAGAGGGACAAGAUACAGAGUUCAUUGGAGGAUGGCGCACGGAGGAUGGAGAUGGCUUUUCCCUCCACCUCACCGUGGGGGUUGGGGAAUAACGUGUCUAAUCUACAUAAUCGUCGCGACAUUAUCAAUCAAAAAUACUAUAUCAAAGAUUGAUAUAAAUAUCACAUUGAUAAGAAAUAUACAUUUGCAAAAUAUGAAGUGGAUCUCUUCUUGCUAACAUAAAAGUUUCCUCAAUCUAAUGCACAAAGAAGUUACGUAAUAUAACAAUAGCUCUGCUGGUUCGAACAGGAAAUACCCGUCUGAGCAAGAUAGCGCAAGAGAUAUGCGCUUUGAGAUAUAAGUAAAUCAGUUGUAAAGUAUUGGCCGUUCUGCAAACAUUGAUGCUGAAACACGUGGCGCAAAAUAAGAGAGACAAUAAAAAAAAAAAGAAAGAAAAAAAGAAAAGCGAGGGAACACAUCUUAUCGUCAUUACAAAGCAGAUUUAAGGUCACUAAAUAUCACGGGAAUGAUAAACUGUGGAAUCCUGAUCUUUGCCAAGAGAUACCAGACUGAGAUUGUACCUCUACUCAUCGUUCACCCUGGAUAGUGCUAAAGUCCAUGAUCUGUACAUGCAGAAUGUACUCAAAUUCAGAUUAGAAUCAUGGUUUUCAAUUAUUAAAAUUACAUAUGUGAUCAAUGUCAUUUUUUUUACUAUACUUAAACCAUUCUAGCAAUGUUCCCACCACUUUUUAGGUAAAUGAUUAUUAUUUCCUAUUAUUUGAGGAUCCAAACAAUGAUUUUUCAAGGUCUAUUCAAGAUAUAUACACUUGGCAGCAAAAAUCGACACUUUCUUCCUUUUAACUUUCUUAUCCUCCUUUUACUUCUGACAUUAGAAUUCUAUCUGGACUAGAAAAAUAUUUUUUGGAAUAAUAUCAAUGUUUAUGUACAGAUACUACUUAUCAAAUUAAAUUGACAAGUUUUCUACCAUUUUACAAACAAAUACAAUAGUUUUCUAACCAUUUACCUAAGAUAUAGAAAAUUUCUAGCUAAAUAAAAGUCUCCUUGUUAUAUCUGUAUCUAUAUCUAAAAAAAAAUAAGUCUUUUUCCCAUUUAUUUAUUUAUCUCAAUAAGUAAUUGUAUCUUAUCUACAUAUGAGAAAAGUUACAUCUUUCUCAACAGUGAGUAACUGUCUCAAUAUUCGCUAUCAGUAGUAUGCUUGUAAAAUUUUGAUGUUCUAGCAUUCACUAUCCCAGACAACAUAAUAUCUAAAAUCGA